rnacentral:rRNA from 1 species
GCCAGACUCCUACGGGAGGCAGCAGUGAGGAAUAUUGGUCAAUGGGCGCGAGCCUGAACCAGCCAAGUCGCGUGAGGGAUGAAGGAUCUAUGGUUCGUAAACCUCUUUUAUAAGGGAAUAAAGUGCGGGACGCGUCCCGCUUCGCAUGUACCUUAUGAAUAAGGAUCGGCUAACUCCGUGCCAGCAGCCGCGGUAAUACGGAGGAUCCGAGCGUUAUCCGGAUUUAUUGGGUUUAAAGGGUGCGUAGGCGGGAUGCCAAGUCAGCGGUAAAAAUGCGGUGCUCAACGCCGUCGAGCCGUUGAAACUGGCGUUCUUGAGUGGGCGAGAAGUAUGCGGAAUGCGUGGUGUAGCGGUGAAAUGCAUAGAUAUCACGCAGAACUCCGAUUGCGAAGGCAGCAUACCGGCGCCCUACUGACGCUGAGGCACGAAAGCGUGGGUAUCGAACAGGAUUAGAUACCCCCGUA